rnacentral:piRNA from 1 species
UGCCUAGAGCUCAUUGACAGUGUGAUGGA